rnacentral:rRNA from 1 species
GACGAACGCUGGCGGCGUGCCUAAUACAUGCAAGUAGGACGCAGUUGCGCACGGGUGAGUAACGCGUAGGUAACUACCUACUAGAGGGGGGUAACUAAUGGAAACGAUAGCUCAUACCGCAUACUAGUAGAUGGACCUGCGUUGUAUUAGCUAGUAGGUAGGGUAAUGGCCUACCUAGGGAACGAUACAUAGCCGACCUGUGAGGGUGAUCCGCCAAACUGGGACUGGGACACCGGCCAGAGUCCGACUGGAGGGAGCAGUAGGGAAACUUCGGGAAUGGGGGGAACCCGUACCGGGCGACGCGGCGGGAGGGAAGAAGGGUUUCGGGUCGUAAAGAGCUGUUUGUAAGGGAGCGGUACUUAACCAGAAAGGGACGGCUAACUACGGGCCAGCAGCCGCGGUAAUAC